GCCGCCAGUUGGCCAUUAGCUGUCACUUUAGUUGGCGCGCGGUCUGAGUGCAGCAUUGCUCGUCACUACGGGCUUGGCUGUUUUUCCUGAGUUUCAUUAAGUUAUUUUUUUUCUAGGGAAACUCCACCUGAAGAUACUCUAGCAUCCAGCUAUUGAUAGCGAUCGUGAGGACGGCGACCGUGACAUCACCAUCACAACCGCAGAACAUAGCACCAGGAGUCUCGUGUUAUCGGUUCAGCAGCCACAGGGACCCCACCCCAGGAAGCAGUGUUAGUCGGGGAGGACUCAGAGUAUUAGC